rnacentral:misc_RNA from 1 species
UCUCUCUCUCUCUCUCUCUCACUCAAACAAAUACUCUCACUUUCUCUCUCUUCAUAGAACUUGCAGAGAGGGUCUAUCUACAGCCAUAGCUGAAGCUGCAAGUUAAAAGAAACUAAAGACUUUGAGGAGAAGAAGUGUGCUUGUCAAAAAUGUAUUCUGCAGUUAAUUUGAUGAUUAUUUUCAAGAGAAUUUGGAGGGUUAUUUAUUUUAUUUUCUGGUGAUAAUAUGUGCAUGCGUGUGGUGGGCUUUAACAUUUAUGUCUUUCCACUAUUCUUGUCUUGUUUUGUUUUGAAAAAUUUCCAGUUUUGCUUCCUGCAACUUGGUUGUUCCCUUAUCUUUCUUUUUCUUUUUUUCGUUUUUCUCCUUUCUGGUUCCUUCAUUUUCACCAGCUAUGGUUGAGAUUUUCUUGUCCUUCCUGUACAAAUUAUAAAGAUCUUACAUGGGUUUUGUCUAUUAUGUCUUGCGAAACUGUGAAGAGCAAAUAAGAUCUUCAGACUUUUAACCAAGAUCGGAGGAUGAUUGUGAAUACUCGAGAAUGAGAUUGUUUACGAGUACAUCAUCCGAUCCUUUUUUUUUUCUUUUAAUCUUGAAUGGAAAAAAUGAAAUGGAAAAAAAUAAAAAUUCAUGCAGCAGAAUAUACAGAAUAAGUUUCUUGAUACUGCUCAGUAUUGACAGAUCAGUCUAUUAUGUGUAAAAGCACCAAAAAAAUUUGAUUUUGUUCAGUAACAAAUCUGUUCUUUAAUGGAAGACGGUCUUUUCAUUUAUCAGGGGCUUUUAAAUAUAUUUAUAUAUUUUUUUCCUUUACUUUGUCUUUAUUUGGCUUGAAGAUAUGGGUCAUUAGAUCAAAUACGAUGUAAUUGUUGAUGUGAAAUUCAUGUUCAUGUCGGUCAAGCAGAGUUGGGUUGGAUGUUGAGAAGCUGUGAUCCUGGAAACUUGUCGGUUGCCUGAGAAACGAUGCCAAACCAGCUAUGGUUUGCACUGCUAAUUAUUUAUCAGCAUGGAAGGAUUUUCCAAAGGGCCUCAGUGUUCUUCUCCUUGCGGAGGAUAGCAGUUCUGCUGCAGAGAUGAAGUCGAAACUCGAAGCAAUGGAUUAUAUUGUGUCUAUAUUCUGCAAUGAGAAUGAAGCUUUGUCAGUAAUUUCAAGCAAACCUGAAAGCUUUCAUGUUGCCAUUGUAGAGGUGAGUACGAGCAAUAGCAAUGGGAGGUUCAAGUUCCUUGAAACUGCUAAGGACUUGCCUACGAUCAUGAUUUCAAACAUUCAUUGCCUGAGCAUCAUGAUGAAGUGCAUAGCGCUUGGUGCUGUUGAGUUCCUUUGGAAACCUCUUUCUGAAGACAAACUAAGGAACAUAUGGCAGCAUGUGGUUCACAAGGCAUUUAAUGCUGGGGGAAGUGUCCUCUCUGAAUCAUUAAAGCCUGUCAAAGAUUCUGUAGUUUCCAUACUGCAGCUUCAAGUGGAAACUGAAGAGCCCAAGAAUGAGACGUUAGAGAGAAUAGAAAAUACAUCUCCAGCUCCUGAAAAUGAUUAUGAGUACUCAUCAGGUAGUGAUAGAUACCCAGCUCCUUCAACCCCACAAUUAAAACAAGGAGCCCGGUUAUUGGAUGAUGGGGAUUACCAAGAUCUUACUAAUUGUUCAACAGAAAAAGAGAGUGAGGAGCAUGAGGGGGAAUCUAAAUCUGUCGAAACUACUUGUGCAAUGACUGAAGAAACUCUGCAGGUCGGCCAUCCUCAGAGCUCAAUUGAGACUCUGAUCAAAGAGAAAGAUGACUCAGCUGAUGGUGUUAAGAGUGAGAAUAAUCCAUCUGGUCAUCCGCCAAAUAAUGACAGUCUCAACAAUCCUGAUGGAAAUGCCACAAACCCUGUUAAAGCUUCUGGUCUUCACAAUUCGUGUGGGACUAGAGUUAAUCGAAAGAAAAUAAAGGUAGACUGGACGCCUGAGCUGCACAAAAAAUUUGUGCAGGCAGUGGAGCAACUGGGUGUAGAUCAAGCCGUUCCUUCAAGAAUACUAGAGGUGAUGAAAGUGGGAGGCUUGACAAGGCAUAAUGUAGCAAGUCAUCUCCAGAAAUAUCGAAUGCAUCGGAGACAUAUUCUGCCCAAGGAAGAUGAUAGGAGAUGGUCACAACAAAGGGAUCAAGUACAAAGGAGUUAUUAUCAACAUAAACCUAUCAUGGCCUAUCUUCCAUGUCAUUCUAAUCAUACUUUCCCACUCAGUCCUGUAUAUCCUGUCUGGGGAGCACCUGGUAGUCACCCAGCUGGUGUCCAUACGUGGGGCUCACCUGGCUAUUCCCCAUGGCCACUAAGAGAAAGUUGGCAUUGGAAACCAUAUCCUGGGGUAAAUUAAACUUGCUAUCUUUAGUAUUAAAAUAGACAAUGACUUGUAAUACUUUUCAGGGAAACAAUUAAUGGAGGUCAAUUGCACAAGCAUUUCCAUAAACAAGUUUUUGAUACAUUUCACAUUUUCAUGUUUCAGAUGCAUGCAGAUGCAUGGGGUUGCCCUGUGAUGCCACCACCUCACAAUCCUUAUUCUUCCUCACCUCAAAAUGUUACUGGGUUUCACAGUACUGGAAUGGUUGACAAUGGGUGCAAUGUACCACAAAAUUCGUUCAACCUACAUCCGGUAACAAAAUACCUUAUAACUUAGCACAAUUUUCUCAGAUUUUAUUCUGAAUAUGUUCAUAUCAUGAGUGUCUAUAAAGUCCUAAAAAUUGUUGAAACUUGUAUAGUCAAUUUGACAUUGUUGUUUGAGCUACUAUGAAGAGGAAUAAUCUCAAAUAUGUUAGUGAUAGGCCAUUAAAUUUUGCUUUUUAGUUAAUUUUUGACGUGUUUUGGUCAUAAGAACCCUAAAAUAGCUAAAAAAACAAUUUUAAUCGGAUUUUUCUAACAUCUAAAAUGUGCUUGUCCAUAUGCAGGCAGAGGAGGUGGUUGACAAGGUAGUGAAAGAGGCAAUUAACAAGCCUUGGUUACCCUUGCCUUUAGGCCUGAAGCCACCUUCUACUGAUAGUGUCCUAGCAGAACUGUCUAGGCAAGGCAUUUCCAGAAUUCCUCCCCACGUCAACUGCUCAAAUUCCAUGUGAGAAGCAUCUCUUCACUACACUAGAUCAUACUGAUACAUUUUCACUUGGACCAUCAUCAAUAAUGGACCAGCUUCAACCAAUCAACAUCCAUGAUCUACCAGCAAAUGGAUGGGACCACGUUGCUGGGAUGAUGGGACCACGUUGCUGGGAUGUUGACAGAAAAUUAAUGAAGACAACACAAUACAACCCAGUAGUGGAGGAUGACGUGAAGUAGGGGCAACAAGAACGGCUAGAGAAAGGCCAAGUAGAUGCAAUGUUCACCUUGUGUGAAAUUUGUGGUUGUAAAUAGAACCUAUCAAAGGGAAAUUGCUGUUGAAUAUUGGCCUUUUCGGGUGUUUAUGUCGAGCGUUUUUUUUUUUUGAGCUUUUUGUGUAUGGAUGGAAUAUUGAAGGGGGGGUGGGGUGUGUGGGGGGGGGUUGUUCCAUU